ACACUCAAUUCCUUCUUUUCCAUGUCAGAACGUCAAAGACCAUUCCUCUGAUUUUCUUUUCUUGCUCUAGUAGUGUUGUUUCAUAACUCAUAAUCUUUUCACUUUUCUUUAAGUAAAGAUGAAUGGUGAAUACAUCAACCAUUCCUUUCACCCAAUCCCUGCACUUAAACACCCUAAAUUCCCCUCACAACUUCUCAGAUCUUAGGAGCACACCAGGCAUCUUUUUCCUCUGCCUCUCGAACUGAACUCCGACGGCUCGAGUUAUGAGCGGCCGGCCGGCGUCCUUGCACCGGCGAACACCCCCACCCCCACACAUGCAACCACGCACAACCCCAUACACCCACACACCUCGGAAAUCAAGAGAGCCGCCGUGUGCGGCGGCAGGAUUAGAGAAACGGGAGCCGGGAGAGAGAGGAGGAUGAUCGACUGCAGAUGGCGGUGGCAGUGUCUCGACAAAUACCGGCGGCGGUAUUUUUAUUUCGGCGAGGUUCAGUCCGGUAACCCCACGAUUCCCUUUAUCUUCUUAUGUUUUUGUUUUUUUUACAUACCCAAGUUCUCCGGUUAGUGGGGUGUUGUUUCAGGGUGGUUGUGGCUGAGUGAAGGUGGCGGUGAAGUCUACGGCAGCCGGUUUCGAUAACCGUAUGGCAGCGGCGGUUAGUGGUGGUGCUUGGUUUGGUUGAGGUUCUCUUCAGAUGUGGUUGGUUCGGGUUCGCGGUGGGUUCGGUUCGUCUGGUUAUAACUCGGUUAACCAAUCCAUAUACCAAGACCAAAAGACUACUACAUCGCUUUGACUGUGAGGACAGUCCACUUCCCAUUCUUAAUUAAAUUCACUUUAAACUUAUAUUUAAAAUGUAAUGGUGUUAGUAACAUAUUGUUAUUAAUAUCUAGAACAUAACCAUUUUUAAGUUCCAACUGUAGAAGCUCCAAUUCUGCAUUUCGGGUCAACACAUCACAGGACAACUCAGUCUCGGUUCGGUCAACCCGGGUCAGACCCGGUCAACUCACUGAGCCAACUCGGGUCAACUCAGUCGGGUCUCGUUUCGGGUCAACGGUUCAAGUUUGGGUUCAGAUUUUAGCUUUGAGAUGUUCGGUUCAAACAGGUCACAGUCAACGGUUCGGGUCAGCAAAUUAGUCAACGCACGUAACUCGAUCAACUUUCAGUCAGCACAGUCUACACCCGGUCAACUCUAGACCCGGAAUGUCAUAGUUGCACGCUAGCUAAUUCACGUUCUUGGAAUGACAUCACGGAAUCAAGUUAAGCUAGCUUUGCACAGGAAUGUCAAGAAGCUCCAAUUCUGCAUUUCGGGUCAACACAUCACAGGACAACUCAGUCUCGGUUCGGUCAACCCGGGUCAGACCCGGUCAACUCACUGAGCCAACUCGGGUCAACUCAGUCGGGUCUCGUUUCGGGUCAACGGUUCAAGUUUGGGUUCAGAUUUUAGCUUUGAGAUGUUCGGUUCAAACAGGUCACAGUCAACGGUUCGGGUCAGCAAAUCAGUCAACGCACGUAACUCGAUCAACUUUCAGUCAGCACAGUCGACACCUGGUCAACUCUAGACCCGAUAAAGUUUUAAGCGUAGCGAGUAUUACAUUAGAUUUUAUAGUUACGCGAACCGAGCUCGACCCGACUAACUAACGGUUUUACAUUUAGCGAUUUUGCUUCAUAUUUGACGUAAAAUUUAUAUAUAAUGUUUGUUGAA